rnacentral:tRNA from 1 species
GGUGCUAUCGCCAAGCGGUAAGGCCGCAGCCUGCAAAGCUGCUAUCCCCGGUUCAAAUCCGGGUGGCACCUCCA